CCGGAAGUGCCUGUAUUCAGAGAGGAGAGGAGCCUGGGAAGGCGGGAGUGUGGGGAAGGACCCAAAGUUGUUUCUAAACCUGGGGUGAUCUGCAGCUGAUCCCGGUGACUCCCAGCAUGAGGAAUGCAGAGCUCAAGGGGAGGGGCACUAAGGGCUAGUUGCAGCCGGAGGGAGGGGCACAGAGGAGGCACAGACCUCAGCUUCCAGUCUCAGCCUCUGGAAGCAUCCUGGCUCCAGGAACUCUCCAAGGUCAUCUCAUCCAACGCUAUCAAGGCUCUGGUGGGUGAGUCUAGAAGGGGCUCCAAGAACAACACACUUCACCUUCCCUGCCUGCAGAGAACGCUCCCUGGGCCAGGAGGAUGACAGGCCGGGAAAAGCUCUGCCCAGGGGCUAACCAUCAGGCCACACCUUCGGACAGCUUCAUCUGCAGUCAGGAUGACAUCUGCCCUCCUUCUGGCCGAUCCUGACACCAGCUCCUCUCUGGGUUCCAACCCUAUUAUCCCUUAAGCCCCAGUAAUUACAAAUGCAUAAAUAAAUGAAUACAUUUGCCUUUCUCUGCUCGGCUCUACCCAAGGACCUGUGGGGAAC
rnacentral:lncRNA from 1 species